rnacentral:rRNA from 1 species
UACGUAGGUGGCGAGCGUUGUCCGGAUUUACUGGGCGUAAAGAGCGCGCAGGCGGUCGUACAAGUCGCGUGUGAAAGCCCCCGGCUCAACUGGGGAGGGUCACGCGAUACUGUUCGACUCGAAGGCAGGAGAGGGAAGUGGAAUUCCCUGUGUAGUGGUGAAAUGCGUAGAUAUCGGGAGGAACACCAGUGGCGAAGGCGACUUCCUGGCCUGUUCUUGACGCUGAGGCGCGAAAGCUAGGGUAGCAAACGGG